AAUCACUGGUGAAGGCGCAAACAGUUCAACCAAAUUCCAUGAUCAUAUUCUAACAAUGCACAAAUCUGUACAUCUUAAUCCAACUGUGGAGAAACAUACAGUCACAAGGGCGACAGGACGAGCAGUGCCUGAACUCUUGGAGGAUGCUGGGAACUGUAGGCAGAGCGUUAACCAGGAGCUGAGGCUUCAUCUUCUUAGUGACUCUCUGUUUAGUGAGCAGCAGAAGCUGAGGCAUGUGUUGGACUGGGCUGAAAAUGUCCUCCACAGCGGGUCAGAGGUUUGCAGUCAAAUCUGCAGAGCAGACAGUUUGAUACUGGCUGAUUCAAAGCACAGAGGAUCAGAGAGAACGCCGCCUGAAUGUAAACACUUAUCUACAGAUAAAUACCAUCAACCUGUUUCCUGUGCUGCAGGGGAUAGUGAGGGAUUCGGAGGAUUAUCAAACUUUGGGAAUAGUGAGCAAAAUACUUACCCCUGCAGAUACAAACCUCCUCUCUGUUUGUCAGAGAACAGAGACUGUGAAAACAGAAAAAGUUUGUAUCCCCAACAUACCACAAGUAAACAAACUCAGAGCCAAGACCACUGCGGAACAAAUGGGCUACACAGUCAAAAGCUUCACACCGACACAUCUAACAGCAGCACAGAUCAAACGCUUACCACAGAUACCACAACAGGCUUGAUCAAAGCAUCAGCAUCCCCUUUAAAACAGCCACAUGACAGCACAGAUUUCCUCAGCACGAUUAGUCCGGGGUCAAAGGGAGAAAAUCAGAAGGCGCUGAGGACAGAGCAGGCAGGCAAAAGCAGGAGGGAGGAAAGCUGUAGAACAAAAGAACAAGAAUCCAGCUCAGAGAUGACAAAAACUACAACUCCCAGUCUUACCGCUCACUUGACACUACCAUCCGAUUUGACUGUGUAUGAGCAGUACCAGCUAUGUGUCCACCAUCUUCAAACAAGCCAACCUGUCAAAUCAGGAUGCUUCAAACAGUCACCCGAGAAACAGCGGAAGACAUCUGAAGACACCUGUCCCAUCACAAAUAAUGAAACUGACAGGCACCUUAACACAGGAGGCCAAAAGUUUACAGCAGCAGAAGCCGCAGAGGAGAGGCGUUCAGUCAGAUCAAAUGCUCCAAAUCUGGAUCUGAGUGAAGAGGCUAUUAACACACCUACAGAUAAUCUGAAGUCUGACGAUGUUGCCCCUGCAGAGGAGAGUGCAGCUAACCCAGAUUCACUGCAAGAAAAAGUCAGAUGUUGCUUAGCCAGCAGGGGUCAUCAAAGGGCGGCCAAAGGUCAAAAGAAGACAGCUGACACUCAAAGUCCUUCAUCAGCAGGAAUACUGCCAAGAGGAUCAAUCAACUACACAAAGAAAGUAGACUCCCAACCACACAGAAAGAAGACACACACAUCCCUGCGCCCCACAAAGGGAUACACACUUUGUGUUAACAACCCCAGACCAACAUCAGCAGAG
rnacentral:lncRNA from 1 species